GAUGAACGCUGGCGGCGUGCCUAACACAUGCAAGUCGAGCGAUUCUCUUCGGAGAAGAGCGGCGGACGGGUGAGUAACGCGUGGGUAACCUGCCCUGUACACACGGAUAACAUACCGAAAGGUAUGCUAAUACGAGAUAAUAUACUUUUAUCGCAUGGUAGAAGUAUAAAAGCUCCGGCGGGACAGGAUGGACCCGCGUCUGAUUAGCUAGUUGGUAAAGUAACGGCUUACCAAGGCGACGAUCAGUAGCCGACCUGAGAGGGUGAUCGGCCACAUUGGAACUGAGACACGGUCCAAACGCCUACGGGAGGCAGCAGUGGGGAAUAUUGCACAAUGGGCGAAAGCCUGAUGCAGCAACGCCGCGUGAGCGAUGAAGGCCUUCGGGUCGUAAAGCUCUGUCCUCAAGGAAGAUAAUGACGGUACUUGAGGAGGAAGCCCCGGCUAACUACGUGCCAGCCGCCGCUGUAA
rnacentral:rRNA from 1 species